UAGUCAUAUGCUUGUCUUAAAGAUUAAUCCAUGCAUGUGUAAGUAUAAGUAUUGUACAGCGAAACUGCGAAUGGCUCAUUACAUCAGUUAUAAUUUAUUUGAUAAUCGAAAGUUACAUGGAUAACCGUGACAAAUUACAGCUAAUACAUGCAGUCAGACCUGGUCCAAGGGUCGUAAUUAUUAGUAUUAAACCAUUUCCGCAAGGAGUGUGAUGAAUCAUAAUAAUCGAACGAAUCGCCUGGUGUGCGAUAAAUCAUUCAAGUUUCUGCCCUAUCAG
rnacentral:rRNA from 1 species